GUCUCGCUAUGUUGCCCAGUCUGGUCUUGAACUCCUGGCCUCGAGAUCCUCCUGCCUCGGCUUCACAAAGUUCUGGGAUUACAGCACCAGAAGGGUUUGAGACAUAUGGUAAAUGCUGAAGAAAUCCUUGGAAAAUGAAUGAAUCUUGUCCAACAUCUUCAUUGCAAAAGUGAGGAGGAAGAGGAUGUGCCACCUACAGUGCCU
rnacentral:lncRNA from 1 species